rnacentral:sRNA from 3 species
AGUAACAUUGCUGGUGAGCGCUAACGAAAUUUGACGCUCGCGAUGUUUUAGUCGUUUUCCUCUUUUGACCACGGAUGUACUGGCAUUGGUGCGAGGGCGAUGUGAGGAAGGUCGGCGCGGUUUCGCUCCGGCCUUUUUUGUU